GAUAGCUUCUUAAAAUUUUAUCUUUUGCAGUCUGCUGUUACAGUGUUGAACUAUUUUCUGUGUAUAUUUAUGAUUUUAAGAUGUAUUGGCAUUGUUUCUAAUGCACAGAUUCUCUACAAAAGACUCUUUGGUGUCAUUAUUAAAACUGUCUUUCUCCUUACAUAUAAUUAGAAUAACCAGAGUGUUUGUGAGCUUAAUUAGAUCACAUCAGAUUACAUGGAAUUGACUGAAUAUAGUAUCUUUUGGAAAUUAACUACAUAAGAUACAGUGAACAGAGAAAAGACCCUCAUUCAGCCUCUAUAGCUGUCCCUUGUCUGGAAUAUAGUAGAUUAAUCAAAUAUCUUAAGUGUAUUGAGUUAACAUUUUGUGUGAUGUUAGUGGCAAUUACAUAUUAUAAAAUGAUUAAUGUUACAAAUCAGUCCCUCCAUUUAGCAGUGUUUAAUUCUGACAUUCCAUUUUAUACACACAUAGCUACCUGUAUAUUUCUCAAAUGUAAGCUGGAAGCAAUUUGGAUUUUCUGUUUUCUAUAUAAAGAAAACAUUAUGAAUGUUUUGGUUCGCCUGAAAUUUGUUUGAAUAGGUUGAAAGGACCAAGAUAUUUCAGUGAUUUAAAAGGGCUAUAAAUGUUCACCUUGUAUUGAGGAGGUAUGAUUUUAAGUCACAAUAGAAUUACUUUUAUUUUCUGAUGUGUUACCCUCUGACUUAUUUAGACAAUAUUUCUAACAAGUUGAGCAGUGGGUUAGUUAAAUGUAGGUGAGGAUUUAUCUUCCUGUUAAAAUUGGAAAAGUAUACAAUUUCUCACUUCCAUCCUUGCACUUCCCCUUAGUACCUCUAACUUCCAAGUGAUCUGAGCUAAAAUUAAUACACACUAAGAAACUAUUUUUGUUCAUUAUAAUUAGCAUUCCAAAUGAAGUCAUUUUGAACUAUGUGCAGCACCUAGGAAGAGGUUGCAAAAUCAGAAGUUGAGUCAGAAGACUCAAGUACUACUUAAGUGUGCUCCAGUGAUAGACCUUGUACACACUAGAGUAAAAGUGACUAGAAAAAUCUGAGCUAUAAAUAUAUAUUUUUAGUUUUGAUAGCUGUUUGGAAAUACUUUUCUAAUGCAGAUAAAAUUGAUCAGGAAAUUAACCUUAUAUGGCACAAACCAAAUACAUAAUAGUGUGUGGCUGAGUUUCUACAGUCAAGGAGCUAACAAAAUAGCUUGAAGAUGGUAUGUAGUAUACACACAUUGUCGUUACUUUCAAGAAUGUGUGUUGAUUUUUCACAGCAAUACACUAUAAAAUGAGAAAACAGUUACAUUUUUGGACCAUAUUCAAACUGUAAGAAGACAGGUCUUAUAAAGAGAUCUUUUAGAAAACUCUUAAAUCCUGUCACAGGAUAUUUAGACAUGUGUAGAAUGUAGCUCAAUUUUUAAGUAACUGACCUAGAGGGUUGAAGUUGAAACUGACACAUUUUCAAAUUAAAAUUGUUUAUUUUGUACAGAAGGUAAUGUUAAACACAAGCGAUUCUGUUGUAUAUGAUAACACAAAGUUAAAAGCAAAUUAAUGACUUAGCUUUAUUGAGGUUUUUGGUUUUCCUUCCAGACCUGGAUAUCAAGUUAUGAACAGCAGUCUCACACCACAAUAGCAGUGCCCUUUCUUUUUGUACAUACUGAUUGGACCUUUCUUUACUGUUACGUGGACACUUUCUAUGUUAGUUUUGAUGCAUAAUUCUUUGAAUCCUUUUAUACAAACUAGAAUGUAUGUGUAAGAAUUUCUGUCCCUGCAAUGUAGUAACUAUAAACUUAUUUUUAAAUAAAUAGAAAACUUGUUUUUCUAAGCUA
ensembl:lncRNA